rnacentral:rRNA from 1 species
UACAGAGGGGGCAAGCGUUGUUCGGAAUUACUGGGCGUAAAGGGCGCGUAGGCGGCCUGCUAAGUCGAACGUGAAAUCCCCGGGCUCAACCCGGGAACUGCGUCCGAUACUGACAGGCUUGAAUCCGGGAGAGGGAUGUGGAAUUCCAGGUGUAGCGGUGAAAUGCGUAGAUAUCUGGAGGAACACCGGUGGCGAAGGCGGCAUCCUGGACCGGUAUUGACGCUGAGGAGCGAAAGCCAGGGGAGCAAACGGG